UGGUCAAGUUAUUAAGGGUGCAGGGCGGAUGCCUUGGCACUAGGAGCCGAUGAAGGACGUGAUAAGCUGCGAUAAGCUUCGGGGAGUUGCACGUAAACUUUGAUCCGAAGAUUUCCGAAUGAGGAAACUCACUUAGAGUAAUGUCUAAGUAUCAUUAAGUGAAUACAUAGCUUAAUGAGGGGAACUCAGGGAACUGAAACAGCUAAGUACCUGAAGGAAGAGAAAGAAAUUCGAUUCCGUAAGUAGCGGCGAGCGAACGCGGAUUAGCCCAAACCAAUAAAGUUUUCUUUAUUGGGGUUG
rnacentral:rRNA from 1 species